CAGCCGCCGCGGUAAUACGUAGGUGGCAAGCGUUGUCCGGAAUUAUUGAGCGUAAAGGGCUCGCAGGCGGUUUCUUAAGUCUGAUGUGAAAGCCCCCGGCUCAACCGGGGAGGGUCAUUGGAAACUGGGAAACUUGAGUGCAGAAGAGGAGAGUGGAAUUCCACGUGUAGCGGUGAAAUGCGUAGAGAUGUGGAGGAACACCAGUGGCGAAGGCGACUCUCUGGUCUGUAACUGACGCUGAGGAGCGAAAGCGUGGGGAGCGAACAGGAUUAGAUACCCCUGUAGUCCCUGUCUCUUAUAC
rnacentral:rRNA from 1 species